rnacentral:rRNA from 1 species
AUUGAACGCUGGCGGCAUGCCUUACACAUGCAAGUCGAACGGUAGAGGGGGCAACCCCUUGAGAGUGGCGAACGGGUGAGUAAUAUAUCGGAACGUGCCCAGUCGUGGGGAUAACGUAGCGAAAGUUACGCUAAUACCGCAUACGAUCUAAGGAUGAAAGCGGGGGAUCGCAAGACCUCGCGCGAUUGGAGCGGCCGAUAUCAGAUUAGGUAGUUGGUGAGGUAAAGGCUCACCAAGCCAACGAUCUGUAGCUGGUCUGAGAGGACGACCAGCCACACUGGAACUGAGACACGGUCCAGACUCCUACGGGAGGCAGCAGUGGGGAAUUUUUGGGACAAUGGACGCAAGUCUGAUCCAGCCAUUCCGCGUGCAGGAUGAAGGCCCUCGGGUUGUAAACUGCUUUUGUACGGAACGAAAAGGUUUCUAUUAAUACUAGGAGCUCAUGACGGUACCGUAAGAAUAAGCACCGGCUAACUACGUGCCAGCAGCCGCGGU